GACGAACGCUGGCGGCGUGCUUAACACAUGCAAGUCGAACGGAAAGGCCCUGCUUUUGUGGGGUGCUCGAGUGGCGAACGGGUGAGUAACACGUGAGUAACCUGCCCUUGACUUUGGGAUAACUUCAGGAAACUGGGGCUAAUACCGGAUAGGAGCUCCUGCUGCAUGGUGGGGGUUGGAAAGUUUCGGCGGUUGGGGAUGGACUCGCGGCUUAUCAGCUUGUUGGUGGGGUAGUGGCUUACCAAGGCUUUGACGGGUAGCCGGCCUGAGAGGGUGACCGGCGACAUUGGGACUGAGAUACGGCCCAGACUCCUACGGGAGGCAGCAGUGGGGAAUAUUGCACAAUGGGCGGAAGCCUGAUGCAGCAACGCCGCGUGCGGGAUGACGGCCUUCGGGUUGUAAACCGCUUUCGCCUGUGACGAAGCGUGAGUGACGGUAAUGGGUAAAGAGGCACCGGCUAACUACGUG
rnacentral:rRNA from 1 species